rnacentral:rRNA from 1 species
UUCCGGUUGAUCCCGCCGGACCUGACUGCUAUCGGAUUGAUACUAAGCCAUGCGAGUCAUUGUAGUAAUACAAGGCAGACGGCUCAGUAACGCGUAGUCAACCCAACCUAUGGACGGGAAUAACCUCGGGAAACUGAGUAUAAUGCCCGAUAGAACAUUAUGCCUGGAAUGGUUUAUGUUCCAAAUGAUUUAUCGCCGUAGGAUGGGACUGCGGCCUAUCAGUUUGUUGGUGAGGUAAUGGCCCACCAAGACUAUUACAGGUACGGGCUCUGAGAGGAGUAGCCCGGAGAUGGGUACUGAGACACGGACCCAGGCCCUAUGGGGCGCAGCAGGCGAGAAAACUUUGCAAUGUGCGAAAGCACGACAAGGUUAAUCCGAGUGAUUUCUGCUAAAGAAAUCUUUUGCCAGUCAUAAAACCACUGGUGAAUAAGGGGUGGGCAAGUUCUGGUGUCAGCCGCCGCGGUAAAACCAGCACCUCAAGUGGUCAGGAUGAUUAUUGGGCCUAAAGCAUCCGUAGCCGGCUUUGUAAGUUUUCGGUUAAAUCCAUGUGCUCAACGCAUGGGCUGCCGAAAAUACUGCAUGGCUAGGGAGUGGGAGAGGUAGACGGUACUCAGUAGGAAGGGGU